rnacentral:lncRNA from 1 species
UUGCUUUGUCUACAUGAGUCGGGAAGACUGGAGAUAAGAGUGGGAUAGACAUGCAGCCUUGUUUCUGUCGAGCACCAGAAGCCUGCAUCAGGUCCGCUGGACAUCUCCCUUUGGAUGUCUCGUCGAGAGAUUAUUAGUACAACAGGAGACGAGGGGCUAAAGGUAAGGCAGACCCUAUGUAUUUUUCUCCUCGUCUCUGCUUCUCAGACUUGUCCUUUUGGAGAGCAGUGAUAAAGCAGAUGGAUUUAGUUUUUAUGUCAGUCAUCAUCAGCUGGGUGGAAGUUUUUGUGUGAAAGAAAAGGCUAGCAUUAAAUUGAUUGAUGGUUCAUUUUUCCUGUUUGCUCCUUGGUCAUUGGAGUGACACCAGGAGGGCUGUCUCGUUAGAGGAGUGUGAGACAAUGGCUCUGACACACACAGAAUUCAUCGCUUGUAAUUGAUCCCUGGAAAUAGCAUAGUCACACAUCGUCCCCAAUAAAUUUGCCUGCUGAACUACUUGGGACAAUCUACCCUGCACUUUUUUCAAAGGCUAUAAGAAAUUAACAGCAUGUAAUCUCACAAGGAAUAUUUGUCGUCGAAUUUCUCCAACAAAUGGGAGAUGACAAAUAUUUCACAUGUGGAUUAAUAAUUUCACCUUUGAGUUUUCUUCAUUUCCGGUCACAACCAGGCCAUACAAGAUGUACAAAUGUGUGAUUUCAGGCACAGCUGUGGUUGUACAAGGCACAGGUGUUGUGUCCUAGCAGACUUUAGCCUUAGAUCCUAUUGUUGUUAUCACUCCCCUUAUCAAAACAUCCAGGGUUUUUGCCCUAGCAGGUGAUGCUCCAAGAAGGAAGGAAGAAAUAAUUCUCCAACUGGACCCAAUAUUGUCCACCAGGGUUUACUUUCCCCUGGGGACUUGCUCAUAGAAAAUUCCUCUGCCACCAGCCUGCCCCCAGAAAUGGCUGCAGCCCCUUGAGUGCUCCAACAUAAGUGGGGACAAAAUCUUCUGUCUCUGGCUGUCCUUAGCACAGAUAAGCCUGGCUGGACCUGUCAGAGAAAAUUGAAGAACAAAAGGAGCACACAGGAGGGAUAAACACAAAGAAGGCAAGAAUGAUAAAAUGCUCUGCUUAGAAAGUGCAAAUUUCUGAACCUGCCUGAGCCACCGAGCUCUGAAGGCUCAAGGGCCCUUCUCUUUCUAUAAUUUUCUCCUGAGGAUGAUGCUAUGCUUAACCUGAAAAGAGAGCAGGGCGCCUGACUUCCUGGCUUCUCAGCAAUGGUGUCACUAGUUAUAGAUGCCUCUCCGCAGAAAGUCUGAGUUCUCCUUUUGUUCUUCUCAUGCAGACAGUAUCAAAGCAGCUCACCCUUCUUCCAGCAGGAAACGUGAAUGUGUGAAAAGAGCGACCAUUUGUUAGACUCUGUUUCUGGCCCAGCAUCAUGAUGUUUCUUAGGGUAAGGGGCAGGGGAGGAUGGAGAGGCAAUAGUGAAGAAACUGUUUUGUGAUUCAGAGGAAAGAGCAAGGUGACAAAAAAAAAAAAGGACGAUGAUUUAAUUUUAAUUAAAAUUAAAUAGGCAUACAUGACUGGUGGUUAAUGUUUUAGUGAAGCUCAAGAGACUAAGCGUGGCAGGGGCCCAGCAGAAAGUAGGUCCAGCAUCUCUGCCGCAAAGGCAAAGUCAUCCCCCGUCCUGCCCUGCCCCGCUCCACCCCGCCUGCUGGUCAAGGCCCCUCUGUCUCCCUCCUCCUGAAAGAGCACUGGACUAGAGUGUAGGUCAAGAGUGGCAAUGAUUUGGCUGUUGGCUAGUGGCCUCCUGCCCUAGCCUGGCUGUUUGUGCCCACAACCACCCACCAGCCUGAAGGAUCAGGUUGCUGCUUUGAUUUAGCCUCUCUAUUGCCACUCAGCCCGCACCUUUGCUGUCUCACCCUCCUGUACAGUGAGGCCUUUCCCUGUCCAUUUGAUUCCUAUUAGAGAACCAGGCAUUUCCCCGGUGACGGUGGAAAUAAGGUAUUCCAGGUGCAUGCUGUAAGGAAGGCGCAUGCGCGCAUAUGCAUGCGCACACGCAUGCGCCGUCUAGACCAAGGCGGGCACCUGUUCCAUCCCAGGGAGUAGAGGCGGCCACAUUCCCAAGGGGUUCUGUUACAGGCGGCCACAGGCUCCAAAGCCCAGAGCUGAUUCUGCUCUGGCUCCACUUCUUUCCUCUGCUGUCUGCUUAGUAAAGGAGCAAAGGCCAGGCCCAAGGCCCGCAGGUCACUAUAGAGUAUGGUGACCCCUAAGAAAACAAGAUCAACCGUCUUCAGGGCCCAUCCCCAACCUGCAAGGGGUCCCUGAGUUUACUAGUUAUUUGGGGUCACAAAGAUCCCAAGCAAUUUGCACAGUCUCCUUGCUGCCACUCCUCUCCUAACCAGAAGCAACCAGGGAGCGAGACGCCACUUCACAUGGGACAAAGGUGAAUGUGAGAUGUGCAAGACCAGACCCUGAGGAAGGGCCACGGUGACCCAAGGGCUGGGCCCUUCAGCCUAAACUUACCUCUAGACUGAAAGGUGAUAGGUCCCAGGCGGAGCCCAGAGGGAGGGGGUGGGCAGCUGAGAUGGAGGCCAGGCUGGAAGGACUGGAGGGGAGCCAACACUGGUGUGUCUGCACACAGGAGCUGGGAGAGUCUCCCUAGAGCCUCAGGGCUCUUCCAGCAAAAGGUAAAGUUUGAAACCCCCCCACACACACACUCAGAGGAGUCCAGCCCUCCUGCAGCGCUCUUACACCCCAUCCCUGCAACCUGCAACUUGGCCUCCACCCCUUCCCCACACUCUGCCCCUACUAUCCGACAGAGUUUUGAGCCAGGGCCGUAGGGGCCCUGAAGGGAGGCCGGUCUUCUCUUUCACCUUGGUUCCUGGGACGCGCUGCGUCAUCAUGGCAGAGGCCAAGAGCUAGAUCCCGUGCCCGGGAUGCAGACUGAGCAGAAAGGGUGGAGGAGGCCGAGCAUGGAGUUGUGGACCAUCUCUCACCCUGCCCAGAGCCCCCAGCACCCCAGUUCUUGCCAUGUGCCCUCUUGUGGGUGCUGAUGGGGCAUGGUGAGAGAUGCAGUGCACAGCCACAGCCUCCUCUCACCAGACCCUGGGACUCACCCUCUGCCCCCCACUCUCAGACAUCUGUUGAAUCCCUGACUUCAAGCCUCACAUGGUGAAGCUCCUCCCUGCGGAAAUAAAGGGUUCAAGAAGGAUCUGGAAGGAGACAGAAACUCAGCUCAGCUGGCACAUCAAGGUCAGGGGCCUCACCUCUCCUAAUUUUAAAGAGAAAGAUCUGUAAGCAGAGGAGAGAAGCCAACCGAGUGACCCCUGAGUGGAAAUCAGGGCAGAAAUCUUUUGCAACAGAAUCCCCAUGGGAAACAUGACAAAAUUAGCAACAGGAAUGAGGUCUCCCUCGGAGGAUACAAGAAUCACUGGGUUGAAAAUAACCACAAGGUCAUCUAGUUCAGCUGCCACCACUUGCCUGAAUUUUUCCAGAAAUUUUUGGACAAGCAGUCAUCCAGCCUCAUCCAGCAGCUCAGUACUCAGCAGCCCCCUCCUGAUGGCGGGCAAGGUUUUAAAGGCCCCUGGGGCUCUCGUGCUUCCAGGGGCAGCUCGCAGAGGGCAGCGGGCAGCAGGCAGCACACAGGGGCCCGGGUCCAGCGCUUCCCUCCCUCCGGCUGCUGUGUUUAUACUCCAUUGAUUCACAGCAAAGACUCUUGGCAAGAUCAAGAUUUCUUUACACCGCUUGUGUGGCUGCUUUAGUGAACCAGCCUUAAAACAUGCUCCCGAGGAGGUCAGUUUUUGGUUAUCGUUGGCUUUAAUUCCUGGAAAAGUUCUGGGAAUCACGAUUUCAGAACCAGAAAGAGCUUCGGCAUCUCGUCCAGCCACCUCACAAUGACUCGUGAGAACCGAAGGGACCCUGGAGCCUAGGGUGGAAUUCAGACCUUAUUCCCCACUGUUCCCCCAGUGCCCUCUGAGCUGCAGUCCCAGUGGCUCUGGGACCCUCCAGAAGGUGCUCAGUGGCCUCUCUAGGGUCUCGUGUUACCUGAUCCACUGCAGCCCUGGCCCUGUGGACUCCUCCCCGGUUCUCAGCUCCUCCCUUGGUCUUUGCAGCCCCAUUCCUGGCUAGUAGGCUGGGGAAAGGGUGUGCAGUGUCCAUGCCUUUUCAGUGCCUCGCUUUCCCGUGUCUCCACCUGUGCACAAGCCUAGAAGCGCUCCAAACUCUCUCCUUUUGGAUUUUUUUAAUGGAGGCUUCAUUGUAUUGACUGAUUAAAUCAUCAGCCGCUGGUGAUUGAAUGUAAUCUCCAGCCCUCCCAGGAGACUGGGGUUUGUGCAGCCACUCCUUGACCACUGCCCCCUCCAACCAUUUCAGCCACUAAGUCUUACUCGCCUUAAAAAUAGUCGUGCUUGUUUGGGCAGCUUCUCUCCACGGAUUGAGUCUUUCACAGCUACAUUUUUUGAUCAGUAUCUACCCUUUGCUUCCACUUCAUCCCCUUCCCUCCAGCUGUCACCACAGUUUUUAUCUGUCUUACGCCCCAGCGCUCCCCUGGACCUGCUCUCACCAGCGGACUUCACCUUCCUAAUUCCAAUGUUUACUUUUAGUCCCUGCCUUGCUUGAUGGCCUCAUAAUGUUUGGCACAGCUGACUGUACCCUCCCUUGUAAAACUCUCCUUUCGCUUGGGUUCCUCGACCCGAUGUUUUUCUCCUAACUUCCGAGUAGGCUCUUUUGCCUACGUGACCCAGGCCUUGAAAUCCUGGAGUCACGUGGCACUCUGUCCCGGAGCUCCUUCCUGAGUCAGCCCACCUCUUUCCUCGUGAUCCCAUCCGCCCCGGUGACUUGGCUCGCCAUCUGUCUGUAAACGAAUGGCCCUUUAAUCUGUGGCACCUGCUCAGACUUGCUCCUGAGCCAGAAUGUCACCACGGGAUGUUGCAUAUGUAUAGCUCUCUGACCCUCGAUGUGUCAGAAGAUGACUCAGAACCUUCUCCCUGGUCUCACCGUCACCACCCAUCACUCUGCAUCCCAGGAAACAGCUUACACUUGCUAUUCAAGGCAGACCCUGAGGGCCUUGAACCCCUUUCCCUUCCUAACCACCCCACUCCUCUUCCAAUAGGCUCUAAGGUCAUGUCCUUCUCUCUAAUGCAGCUGUCCCAGGCUCUGACCAUCACUUCUUAUUUGCAGGUAGCAGACACCUCUAACCACACCUCCCUGUGUCCACUCUUGACCUCUUCCAAUCCAUUCUCAUGUUGCAGCCAGAGAGGAUUUUACAAGGCGCACAUGGGAUUAUGUCACCUGACUGUUUCAAAGCCUUCAAUGGUGCCCAUGUUUAGGAUGGCACCCCAAACCUCAACAUGGCUGGAUUUCUGUCUCACAAUGCUUUUUCUCAAACACAGCUCUCCAGCUUAAUUCAACAUUUUCAUUUCUUCCAAUGCCUCCACUCUUUUUCAUGUCUAAUUAGUUAGCAUUCCCUGCCCAUUAGAUUUAAAUUUAAAGACCCAUGACGUUAUGAAUCUGUUUUAUUCACCACUAUACAUAUAUAGCAAUUAGCACAAUGUCUGACAAAUAUUUGGAAACUACAUGAUUUAUUUAUUCAGAAAAUAGUUUUUAAAUGCCUGGUCUGUGUCAAGCUCCAUUCUUGAUUCUUGGUGAUGUGGAAAUAUUUUUUUUAAAAGAGAGACAAAACCCUUUGCCCUUAAGGAGUUAUAUUCUACUAGAGAGAGAGAAACACAAUGAGAAGAAUAGGUGGUAUAUCUGAUGGUGAUAACUGCCAAAGAAAAAAAUUAAGUAGGGAAGGAGGGGGGAUAAAGAAAGAAAGGAGGCAGACAGAAGGAGAGAUGGAGAGACAGAGGGAAGGAGAGAUGGAGAGACAGAGGGAAGCAAGCAGUUAUUUGGGGGAAGAACAUUCCAACAAGGAGAGUGGCAAGUUCAAAGGUCCUGGAUGGAUAUAUGCCUUCAGAGUUCAUGGCCAGAAAGAAGGUCAGUAUGACUAGAGAGAAUGAGGCAGGGAGAGCAGUGGAAGAUCAGUGUGGAGACUCGAAGGGCUCCCUGAUGCAGGGCUGGUGGUCCUGAGGGAGCUGUCGCCGUGUGUGCAACGCAGAGCUGCUGGAGCGCUCUGGGUAGAGGGUUGCUGUGGCAGGACGAGGAUUUCAGCGGUCUCACUCAGCAUGCCAGCAUGCUCUGUUGGAAACAGACUGAACAGGAGUAAGGAUGGGAGCAAAAGUGCCUGGUAGGAGGCUGCUGCCGCCACCCAGGUGAUCCAUAAUGGCAGCUGCAACCAGGGUGGUAGCAGAGAGGUUGAAUCCUUUACACAUCGUGAAGGUAGAGGUGACACAGUUUCCUGAUGAUCGGAAUGUAGCAUUUACGAGAAAGAGGAAUCGAGAACGAUUCCAACGGUAACCCUAAGUUUGGUUUCGGAAUCUUGGAAUCUGUUUCUGUUUUGUAAGUUCUGUGGUAUCAAAUGCCACGGGUUAGUGAUGUCAUGUUACUUGUUUUUCCAAGUGGGAAAUGUGGGGAGAGAAAUAAUUUGGGAGGUUGGGACUAACAUGUACACACUGUGAUAUAUAAAAUAGAUAAGUGACAAGGACCUACUUCCCAGCACAGGUAAAUCUACUCAAUGAUGUACAGGGUAAAAGAGACUGAAAAGGAAUGAUUCUAUGUGCGUGUGUGUGUGUGUGUGUGUGUGUGUGUGUGCGUGAGAUUCACUUUGCUGUGCACCUGAAACUAACACAACAUUGUAAGUCAAUUACACUCCAAUAAAA